rnacentral:lncRNA from 1 species
CUACAAGAGAAGGUCUGACAUAAGGAUAAUUUAAUUAUCCUACCAAAGACAUUGUAUGGAUAUGCAGCAAUAUUGAUACAUAGGCUAAGCAAUGUAUCAAGGGGAGGGAAGUAUAGUAGAGUAGUUAGGAAAGAGUGAUGGCCUAGAGGAUAAUUACUUAAACACAUUUUUUUGUAAGAAGAUCCAUUCCAACAUUUGGAAUUGGACUUAUUGAACUAUUCCAAAUUAAGGGGAAGAAGGGGAGUUUAACAAGAAUAGAUAAGUAUAGCAAAUGGGUAGAAGCGUUCCCAACUUACUUGGUGGACAUGAUUAUGGUAGCUAGAAUAUUAGGACAAGAUAUUAUCCCUAGAGUUGGUUUGCUAGCAUCUAUCUCUUUAAAUGAUGGAUGACAUUUUAGCUAAUCAGGUAGAGCCUAUAGAAUGCCAGAGUUAGAGAUACCAGAACAGGUAGACAUAGAAGUUGAAGAAAUACUAGCAGAACACAUGAAAAGACUGUUCGUUAACCAAACCCGUAUGUCCAAGAUUUUGUGUCCAACAGGUGAAUUACAGGAGAAGGUGAUUCACUCAAUCCAACCAGGAGACUGGGUGUGGAUCCAGUCCCUGAGGAGAAAAGACUGAAAGCAGCCCCGUUGGGAAGGCCCAUACCAGGUUCUGUUAAACCACUGCCUUUGCCAUUAGAAAAGCUGAGAGAGUCACUUGGGUCCACGUUAUCCACUGCAAGGAGGUAUGUACACAUAUGAGCACUGCUGAUCACACACAGAGUUAGGAGAAGAACCGAUACCAACAGGGUCCGGGGGUUACCUCCUUAACGAAGAUUCCCUAUCCCGACCGUUCAUCACUGUGUGUGCUCCUAGAGGUGUGAGUAUGGGGUGGUACCAAGCAGAGAGACUAAGGGCAGGAGAGGGUUGACGGUUUUUGGGAAGAGUAGAGACUCUGAGCUGCAUCAUAGUUUUGGUAACCUUUCUGAUACAUUCAGAUCCACCACCUUCCGGUACUAAUCAUAGGAUACCGUUGUCAUUGAGAAGAAGUAGAGGAUAAACUAUAUAAUACACUGAUGAGUGACAUACAGAAUAAGGAAUCAAAGAAGAUCAAGAUGUAGAAUUUAAGCAGACAACUGUACAGGAAUUGGGGUUGGCCAGAUUGAAGUACUCAGCCAACCCACCUCGGUUCACCUAAAUUCCUGAUGAGCACCAGUGUUAUAGAUACAAGAAUGGCACCGAGAACUUAGAUGAUUUUAAUGGCUGAAAGGUAAUCGUUAAUGUGACUGACUUAGGUUUGAAAGCACAGGAGAAAAUGUUUAACCUCACAGCACCUAUAACUGAUGUAGGGUGGGCUAGUACCAGCAAAGGACGCAUACGAAAUUACCACAAAGGGUGGUUAGGAACUUGCGCCCUGGGGUUAUUGGUCCAACCAGUUCGAGUUAGUCAUCAGAGGCCAGUUAUAGGAGGCUAAAGUAGGCACAGGAGGAGUUUUGAUCAGGAUGGGAGUAGCUUUGUCUAGAUGGAUGCUAUUGGCAUCCUCAGGGAAGUUCCAGAUGAAUACAAAGCUAUGAAUCAAAUAUGUGAAGGCUUUAACACUACAUUAUUUUGGUGGUUGACAAUAAAUAGAAAUGUGGAUUGGAUUAAUGACAUCUUUUAUAAUCAACAGAGAUUCAUGAAUGAAAACGGGGAUGCAGUAAAGAGGUUCUCUGACCAAUCAUCCGCCACCCCCCUCAUGACCUGGUAAAAUACACUGACUCUCGAUAUGUUAUUGGCAGAAGAGGGCAGUGUAGGUAGAAUGAUUAGGUUCAGCGCUACACGUACAUUCCUGAUAACACAUCCCAUGUUUGGGAAAUGGAAAAGUGUUGUAAGAACUGUAUUAUGGGCUGCUUUCACCUGUAUGAGUGUGUUUGUGUUGUGUGGAUGUUGUCUCGUCCCAUGUGUGAGAGGUUUAAUCACCAGGACUCUAGAGAGAUCGAUGACGCAGCAGAUGGUGAGAUAUGGACCAAUUCCGAGCUCCGAUCAGUGGGAUGGCGAAUGCGGGCCUCCAGGCCAGGAAGAUGGCUCCGUUUCUUUUAAUCACGAGGAGCCAAUGUUUGAUGAAACAAUUUUCAACGUUUUGAUUGAAUUUUCAACAUUUAGAUGGACUGUUCCUUUAAUGAAAAUGAUUAUGAAAAUCCUGAAUCAAAGUGUCAUAAUUGGAAAUAGGCCUAGGACUGUCAUUGAUGGGUAUAGGAGGAAUAAUUAUGUAUUAGUUUUGUUAAAUCCUUGUAUCACAAUUAAGUUACAUAUAGCGUGUGAUUAUUUGUGUUUCCAUAUAGCGUAUGAUUAUUCAUAUUUCCAUAUAGCGUGUGAUUAUUUGUGUUUACAUAUAGCGUGUGAUUAUUUGUGUUUCCAUAUAGCGUGUGAUUAUUUGUGUUUCCAUAUAGCGUGUGAUUAUUUGUAUUUCCAUAUAGCGUGUGAUUAUUUGUGUUUCCAUAUAGCGUGUGAUUAUUUGUGUUUCCAUAUAGCGUGUGAUUAUUUGUGUUUCCAUAUAGCGUGUGAUUAUUCAUAUUUCCAUAUAGCGUGUGAUUAUUUGUGUUUCCAUAUAGCGUGUGAUUAUUUGUGUUUCCAUAUAGCGUAUGAUUAUUUGUAUUUCCAUAUAGCGUGUGAUUAUUUGUAUUUCCAUAUAGCGUGUGAUUAUUUGUGAUUACAUAUAGCAUGUGAUUAUUAGGGUUCUCAUAUAGCAUUUGAUCAUCAUGGUGAAUUAUUGAAUCAUUUAAGGGUGGAAUUGAUAAGAGAAUUAUCUAAUAAAGGUAAAUUAAUCAAUAAACCAUGAUGAAUUAUUAGUCAUACAGCAUGGUUAAUGAAUAAUCAAGGUAAUGAUCAAUGUAGGGAUCGAUUGGUCUGAUUAGUUCCGGAAAGUCCAGGAACCACUGGAGAGGGAAAGAAAUGGGUGUAUGCAAUUAGUAUAGAGAGCUAGAGAAGCAGAUGGUCAAGGGAGUAAAACUAACCUUGAAGGAAAGGAACAGGCUGAGCCAGAAGGUGAUAAACAGUGUGAGAAGUUUAUGGGGGUUGCAGGUCACCAACAGAUUGUGUGUAAAUGCAUGUGCGUAAGUAAGCAAGAACUAUAUAAUGACUGUUUUGUUAUCCUGACGGCAGAACGUUCUCUGAAUAAAGC